GGUGGCUCAGUGGUAGAGCGCUCACCUCGCACGCGUGAAGCCCUGGGUUCGAUUCCUCAGCACCA
rnacentral:tRNA from 1 species